rnacentral:rRNA from 1 species
GAGCUGGGUUCAGAACGUCGUGAGACAGUUCGGUCCCUAUCCGUCGUGGGCGUAGGAAAUUUGAGAGGAGCUGUCCUUAGUACGAGAGGACCGGGAUGGACAUACCUCUGGUGUACCAGUUGUCGUGCCAACGGCAUAGCUGGGUAGCUAUGUGUGGACGGGAUAAGUGCUGAAAGCAUCUAAGCAUGAAGCCCCCCUCAAGAUGAGAUUUCCCAACUUCGGUUAUAAGAUCCCUCAAAGAUGAUGAGGUUAAUAGGUUCGAGGUGGAAGCAUGGUGACAUGUGGAGCUGACGAAUACUAAUCGAUCGAAGACUUAAUCAAAA